GGCGUCGUAGCUUAGCUGGUUAAAGCACCUGUCUUGUAAACAGGAGAUCCCUGGUUCGAAUCCGGGCGAUGCCU
rnacentral:tRNA from 1 species